AGGGUUCACAAAAGGGAUGGGAUCUCAAUCCACAUCUGGGUUAUAUUCAAGAUCCCUCUCUGGAUCUUCUUCUUCUUCAAAAUACUUUCUCCUCUUCAGGUCCCUCUUCCUUAGAUUCUCCUCAGGGUCCUGAAAUGGUUAUUCAAUAACCAAUGAGACCACGUCUCAGCGAGUCCUACCCCCUACGACUCGAUUAGUAAACUAAUAUGCCAUACGGUUGCCUAAGCACAACACGAGUCAAAGGACUUACCUUGGCCUCAGUUCCAACUUGCAAUUCAAGGUUAAACACAGAUAUUCAAACAAUUCACGACAUCCGAUCAAGCACUGGCCAAUCGACUAAGUCGAUUACAUGUCAGUCAGACCCUCUCUAGGUCAUUCCCACUCAUACCACGCUUUCCCAGUGGUAUACUCAUUCACCAAAUCACAUGUGUUUCUCGGGCGUCGUUUUCGCCAAUGACAUACCGAUCACCGACACCGUGCGUUCUUUAAGGCGCCGUUUUCACCAGUGAUAACCUUGAUCACCGAACCACGUGUCCUUUCAAGGGCGCCGUUUUCGCCAAGGUGACAUCGGCUAUAGACAACAUUGUGCGUUCUUUAAGGCGCCGUUUUCACCAGUGAUAUUCCCAUAACCACCGAACCACGUUUGUCUAUAAGUCAUUUACGUGCGUUCUUUAAGGCGCCGUUUUCGCCAGUGAUACUUCCAAUCACCGAACCACGUAUGUCCAAUAAUAUCGUACCUGAUUGGUCUCACCAUUCUCCCUACUAUAUAGCCCAUCAACGUACUGGCGCUAUAUACCCAUGCUCGGCCAUUACCAAUCAAAUACUCAAUAACAAACAAUUAAGGAUAAAUCCUCAAAUUUCACAAUUCAUUCAAUUCCACACAACGUAGAGCUCAAAUAAAUAAACGGACUACACCACGACAAUCAGCACGAAAUUCCGGUCACCGGCCAUCUCGGUUGAAUUUCCGGAAAAAUAAAUAAAUAAUUAAUUAAUUUCGAAAAUAAAUAAAUAAACAUUAAAAAUCCAAUUUAGGCCUAUAUUGCCUUAUUGGAGCCCGAAACGGGUCGGGAAAAAUCCCGAGAUACAUUCAAUAAAUAAUCACACAUUUCUACUUGCUAAUAGCUAGGUCUAACCACCUAACAUGCAUCCUCAAGUCACUAAUUUAAUUGUUCUAACCUAAUCUAACCACCUAAGUGCAUGUAAUUAAAUCUAACCAACCCUAAGCAUAAUUAGCAAACUAAUAAAGCAUUAGUGAGUAAAACUCACUUGAUAAAAGCGGAGAUCGAAUCACCGCAACGGCGACGCGACGGCGGCCGAAAUCGGACUUUCGACGACACCGGCGGACUUGGACCGGGCUUUGGACUUGGCCCAACAAAUCUCAGCCCAAUUGAGGUUUGUUCUUGCUUUUGGGCUGGACCCAAGUUGGGUUGGGCCUGCUGAAAUUCUGGACUGACUUCACUUGGGCUUCAAAUUUCUUUGCUGGAAAUUGGGCCUCCAAUUUCAGUUGAUGGGCUGCUGAACUGGGCUUGACCAAUUAAUUCACUUGGAUUGGACUGGGCUUGAAGACUGCAGGAGAUGGGCCUCAAUAAAAUUCUGCUGAAUUGGGCCUCAAAUUACUGGGCUGCAACUUGAAUUAAAUUGGCUGAAGAACUGCUGGACUGAUGGGCUCAAAGACUGCAAGCUUGGGCCGACUGCUCUACGGGUGAAGAAGAGAAAUCACGCGGACAGGGGAUAGACUUUCGGUUGCUCAUGCGGCUGAAGACCGUGGACUCACGGCUUCGAUGAUGCUGUUGCUUCGCUGGGGUUCUGGGAUUACUUCGGUGGAAUUUGCUGGCGGCAUAUGGAGUUGCGGACGUGAGAUCAGGGUCUUCGGUGGAUGCAAUGUUGACCGAAGAAGGGCAGGUGGCAGCGGCUUGUGAACCUAUGGAGAAGAAUCGGUUGAGCUCCGCAGGUGAUGGAUGCGCGCGGCUUCAGCUUUGCUGGCCGCGAGAGAGAGAAGACACGAAGAUGGGUGGUCUUCGUUGAUGGAGUCAACAAAAUUGGGAGAAGAUCUGCUGCUGUUAACCGAAGAUGACGCGUGGAGAGGCUGGCCGAAACGGUGGAGGUUGAGAGGCUUCGGUGGGACGUGGAUGAAGAGAAGCAACACUUGGUUGCUGAAGCCGUUGACGAAGGCUGGAGUUUUGAAGCCGCGUGGAGAUGGAUGAACCGCAGCAGUUUCGAUCAACACCUGGGGACUUCGCUUGAGGAAUUUCGCUGAAGUUGACCGAGAGAGCAAGAGAUGGUGGAGCAGGGGUGAGCUGGCCGCGUGAGAGGGGGCAAACGGGCGAAGGGAGAGAGAGAUAUCGUGGGCUGUGUCUUCAGUGGAAUGGCAGAGAAGUGGAGUUGAGGAAGACACGCGGAGGAAGCUUUGCUUAUCUGGACUUCGACCGAAAGAAAAUGAAGCAGAAGCUGAGACCGCAGAGUUAAAAACGAAGAGGAGCCGUGCGUGAGGAAG
rnacentral:lncRNA from 1 species